AUAAUAAAAGAGAGGGAGUAUCUAACGUAGCAUAACAUGUAUUUGGAAAGUAACGUAACUUCUUGCUUUGCUAUUUGCCUCGAGGCAGAAAAAAUGUAAUUGGCCAAAUCAUUAGUUGAUAACGCGUUUCAGACAGGGUGUAACGUUACACUCUGAAUACAUUUGAUGGAAGGUAACGAUAUGCUCGAUAUACUCUCUCUCUUUUAUUAUGGACUCUUGACAGAUUGUUGUCAGCUAGAGCUAGAGGAGGAAUGUUUGUGCUCAAACUUCAAAUUUUACUUUAAUGACCCCUUUACCUGUCAAUAUCAAUUGCAAUGUUGUUUGGGAGCAGAUCUUUACCAAAUACAUAUUAUGUUUUCAUACCUCCUAGAUUGAAUGAGAAGAAGUCCAGUCCUCUAGACAGUAUCAGAGGGCCUCCCUCGUUCCUAUACCAUCCACAGAGGUUGAGGAGAAGAGUGAAACCAUUCGAUGUCUAGAGGAUGACCUGCUGAGGGAGUUGGAGCAGAAGCUGCUCGAGAGGUCUCAAAUCAUGGACCUGGGUGUCGUGGCUGAGCUGUAGUGAGAAUUGGAACUGGCCAACAGCAAGGCAGUCUGCUGUGCAGCUAGGAGAGACGUGUGAUGGAGGAAGAGCUCAAGAAGGCACUGUGUAGACAUAUUCGAGUGCUACGAACAACAGUUUGAGGCUGAGUAAUGAACUCGUACGCCUUCAAAAAGUGCAGAGAGUUCUUCCUGCGAGCAUCGACAGUGGACCCCCCGGACAGAAAGCUGGGUAUCGACGAGUAUUCUGACGUGACCCAGACCAUGCUCACCAAACUACAUCAGUCAGUGUCCAUGGAGAUAUGCUCCACCCACUCUGUUCAGGUUCAGAAAUGUUGUGUUUGAGAUCACAUCAGGCAGAUAGAGAAGGUGGAGCUGGUCCUCCAGGACCUCCUUCAGCUGCAAUACGAGGGCCUAGCAAUCAUGAAGAUGUUUGAGACGGUCAAAUUGAACGUUAAUCUGCUCAUUUUGCUUAUGAACAAAAAUCGCUAAGCGUUAUAUUGUAUUUCCUGUAUUCAUGACAAUUUUAUGUACGUACAGUGCAUGUACUCUCUGUGACACUGUUUAAAAGCGAAACCAUCAUUAUUGCUGUGCUAUUGACCAUUAAUUUCUAACUUGAUUUGUUUAGGUAGUGGUUAAGUAAUGUGCCUAUUUCUGUCUUCUGUGCACUAACCGUUCUCAAAGCAUUUAAAUUG